CCGGCGGCGGCGGCCCUCCACGGCAUCUAUGGGUACUUGAGGAGAGGUUGUCUGUGAUGAGUUCGCUUUAUUAAUGCCGAAUAUAACACAGAUGGCCUGUUUUCGGUACCCCCUGCGACUC
ensembl:miRNA microRNA 410